rnacentral:ncRNA from 1 species
GACUAAUCGAACCGUCUAGUAGCUGGUUCCCUUCGAAGUUUCCCUCAGGAUAGCUGGCGCUCUGUCGCAGUUUUAUCUGGUAAAGCGAAUGAUUAGAGGUCUUGGGGGCGAAACGCCCUCAACCUAUUCUCAAACUUUAAAUUGGUAAGAAGCCCGACUCGCUCGUUUGGAGCCGGGCAUGGAAUGCGAGUGCCAAGUGGGCCACUCUUGGUAAGCAGGACUGGCGAUGCGGGAUGAACCGAACGCCGGGUUAAGGCGCCCGACGCGACGCUCAUCAGAGCCCACAAAAGGUGUUGGUUGAUAUAGACAGCAGGACGGUGGCCAUGGAAGUCGGAAACCGCUAAGGAGUGUGUAACAACUCACCUGCCGAAUCAAUCAGCCCUGAAAAUGGAUGGCGCUGGAGCGUCGGGCCUAUACCCGGCCGUCGCGGCGGUACGAGCAUCGAGUUGGUGCGCUAGGCCGCGACGAGUAGGAGGGCCGCGGCGGCGGGCGUAGAAGCCUAGGGCGCGAGCCCGGGUGGAGCAGCCGUCGGUGCAGAUCUUGGUGGUAGUAGCAAAUAUUCAAAUGAGAACUUUGAAGGCCGAAGUGGCGAAGGGUUCCAUGUGAACAGCAGUUGAACAUGGGUCAGUCGACCCUAAGGGAUAGGCGAAGGCCGUUCUGAAGCGGGGUGAUGUUCGCGUCGCCCCGGCGGACCGAAAGGGAAUCGGGUUAAUAUUCCCGAACCUCGACGCGGAGAUUGGCGCUCCGGCGCCUAGUGCGGCAACGCAAACGAACUCGGAAACGCCGACGUGGGUCCCGGGAAGAGUUCUCUUUUCUUGGUAAGGGGCGGCGACCCUGGAAUCGGUUCGCCCGGAGAUAGGGACAUGGGCCCCGUAAAGCAGCACGUCUCUUGUGCUGUCCGGUGAGCUCGCGUCGGCCCUUGAAAAUCCGAGGGAGACGGUGUAAUUUUCGUGCGAGGUCGUACCCAUAUCCGCAGCAGGUCUCCAAGGUGAACAGCCUCUGGCCGAUAGAACAAUGUAGGUAAGGGAAGUCGGCAAACUAGAUCCGUAACUUCGGGAAAAGGAUUGGCUCUAGGGGCUGGGUCGGUCGGGCUGAGGUACGAAGCGGGGCGCGGCGCUGUACCGGACUGGGCGAACGACGGCCUCCCUCGCGGGGGGCUGGCGUGAGCCUGGACCUGUGUCGGCGUCUUCCCGUGGAAUGCCGCAGCUAACGCGGGCCUCGCGGCCCGCUUCGGCCGGCGUCGAACAGCCGACUUAGAGC